rnacentral:rRNA from 1 species
CGCGUAGGCGGUUGAUUAAGUCAGCUGUGAAAGCCCCGGGCUCAACCUGGGAAUUGCAGUUGAUACUGGCCGACUAGAGUGCAGGAGAGGGAGGUAGAAUUCCACGUGUAGCGGUGAAAUGCGUAGAUAUGUGGAGGAAUACCGGUGGCGAAGGCGGCCUCCUGGCCUGACACUGACGCUGAGGUGCGAAAGCGUGGGGAGCAAACA